CUUGUAUUUUUGUUUGCUAGGAUACAAAUAAACGUCGAACCAGUGCUGCAAAAAAAGUGGCGGGAAAUAUACUGGAAAAAAUUAAAAAAAAGGAUCAAUCACAAUCAGAGGCACAAAGUGUGACUCGUGCAGAUUCGGAUUCGACUUCGUCAUCAGAUGAUGAUUGUGCAAUAUCAAUGAGAACUCUAUCAACAUCACAUAACAAUAAAAUAAAAUUUACAGAAGAAACGGUAUCUUUGAGAAAGAAAAAUAGAGCGUUGGAAGCCGAAAAUUUAAAAUUAAAAGAAGAAAAUAAAGAAAUAAAAAUAGCUAGCGCAAAAGAUUUAAAAGACAUAAAAGACAUAACGACGACAAUUUUAAGACUUUUAAAAGUUAAUGAACGGGAAACAAAAAAACAGAAUGUAGACAAUUUACAUAAAGAGAGCCGAAGAUAAUGCCCAAAAAAUUGUCUUUGACGGCUUCAUAGAUUCAUUUGAUCCGCCAAUAAAUGAAGACUCAUUGAACGAUGAUUACACAGUUUUUAGAGUACCUUAUAAAAAUAAAACGAUUGUUCCACAGGAUGACAAUGAAAUAAAAAAUCGUGUACUUAAAACCGUUGAAACAAAACGUGACGAGAAACGACAACUGAUGACAAUCAGUAGUAAUGAGAACAAAUUAAAGGAAAAUGGAAAAUAUUUUGGAGAUCGGUUUUUAAGCAAUCAACAAUUGGAAAAAAUUAAUGACAAAGACGGCCUAUCAAUGAUGGCAAGCGAAUUACUUGGAUUAGUGUUCGAUCGCGAGGAACUGCGAGAAAGCAGCUUAACAGGGAAGCAGGCUAAUGCGAAUAAAGGAAAAAACUGCCCAAAAGCAUCGACACAACAGCUUGAUCCUACACGUGUAGCAGAUGUUGCAGCGUACAUAUACGAACGGUUCGGAGGAAAGACUCGGGACAAUGAAAAAUUAUUUCGAGCUGCUGUUCGCAGCAAAUGUAAUAACGCAAAAAAAUAUUGUUAACUUUCUUUAAAAAUUCGUUUGCAGCAAAUGCAAAGUGCAAAACAUGUGACUUUUUUAAGUUUUUUUUUAAUUUUUAAAAUAUUUUAAUUAAGUUUUUUGUUCGUAGCAAAUGCAAUAAUGCAAAGAAUACUUUUCGUUUUUUUUUCAAGUUUUCUGAGUAUAAGUAUGCAAUAUUUCUGAGUAUAUUAAGGUUUGCAAAAA